GACGAACGCUGGCGGCGUGCUUAACACAUGCAAGUCGAACGGAAAGGCCCUGCUUUUGUGGGGUGCUCGAGUGGCGAACGGGUGAGUAACACGUGAGUAACCUGCCCUUGACUUUGGGAUAACUUCAGGAAACUGGGGCUAAUACCGGAUAGGAGCUCCUGCUGCAUGGUGGGGGUUGGAAAGUUUCGGCGGUUGGGGAUGGACUCGGGGCUUAUCAGCUUGUUGGUGGGGUAGUGGCUUACCAAGGCUUUGACGGGUAGCCGGCCUGAGAGGGUGACCGGCCACAUUGAGACUGAGAGACGGCCCAGACUCCUACGGGAGGCAGCAGUGGGGAAUAUUGCACAAUGGGCGGAAGCCUGAUGCAGCAACGCCGCGUGCGGGAUGACGGCCUUCGGGUGGUAAACCGCUUUCGCCUGUGACGAAGCGUGAGUGACGGUAAUGGGUAAAGAAACACCGGCUAACUACGU
rnacentral:rRNA from 1 species